rnacentral:rRNA from 1 species
GACGAACCGUGCGAACGUUGUUCGGAAUCACUGGGCUUAAAGGGCGCGUAGGCGGGCCACCAAGUCAGGGGUGAAAUCUUUCGGCUCAACCGGAAAAGUGCCUUUGAUACUGGUGGCCUCGAGGGAGGUAGGGGUCUGCGGAACUUCCGGUGGAGCGGUGAAAUGCGUAGAUAUCAGGAGGAACACCGGUGGCGAAGGCGGCUUGCUGGGCCUUACCUGACGCUGAGGAGCGAAAGCGUGGGGAGCGAACAGG